AUUAAUAGAUUAUACUCCGUGUGUAGCAUAAUAUGGUAUAAAAAUAUAAUUAGGUGUGAUAGGCUUAUCAAAGACCAGGAUAUCUUGAUAGCGCUUAAACGUAUUAAGUACGGAAAACAAAUAUAAAGUGUUUAGGCUUUAUAUAACUUUAAAAUAGAUUUCGGGAUGAGAUGGUUUAAUCGUCUUUAAAUUUAUCACACUAAUAUUAAUUUUCCUCUAAUUAAUAAGAGUACGUGCUUCUACUAUAAUAAAGGUGUGUAGUAAUAAUGUUACUAUAAGUAUUAAUUAAGGCGCUUAUAAUGAACUCGGCAACAAAUAUUCUCGACUGUUUAUCAAAAACAUAGCUGUAUGUAAUUAAUAUAUAGUUAUUUCUGCUCAAUGUAAUAUAAAUAGCCGCGGUACUCUGACUGUGCAAAGGUAGCAUAAUCAAUUGGCUUAUAAUUGAAGUCUAGUAUGAAUGAAAAUAUGGGGAUAGACUGUAUAAUAGACGUUCAUUUGAAAUUACUUAAUAAGUGAAAAGACUUAUAUUUAAAUAAUAGACGAGAAGACCCUAGAAAUUUUAAGGAAUUAUAACAUAUAUAGGUUUUUGUUGGGGCGACACGGUAGCAGUACAACCUACUAAGGUGAAUAUGAUUAUUGUAUUAGGAAUAAUUAAAUUACUCUAGGGAUAACAGCAUAAUAUUCUAAAGUUUGUGACCUCGAUGUUGGACUAGGAU
rnacentral:rRNA from 1 species